rnacentral:rRNA from 1 species
CAGCAGCCGCGGUAAUACGAAGGGUGCAAGCGUUACUCGGAAUUACUGGGCGUAAAGCGUGUGUAGGUGGUUGUUUAAGUCUGUCGUGAAAGCCCUGGGCUCAACCUGGGAAUUGCGAUGGAUACUGGGCGACUAGAGUGCGGUAGAGGAUAGUGGAAUUUCCGGUGUAGCAGUGAAAUGCAUAGAGAUCGGAAGGAACAUCUGUGGCGAAGGCGACUAUCUGGGCCAACACUGACACUGAGACACGAAAGCGUGGGGAGCAAACAGGAUUAGAUACCCGCGUAGUCCCUGUCUCUUAUAC